rnacentral:rRNA from 1 species
CCUACGGGAGGCAGCAGUGGGGGAUAUUGCACAAUGGGGGAAACCCUGAUGCAGCGACGCCGCGUGGGUGAAGAAGCGCCUCGGCGCGUAAAGCCCUGUCAGCAGGGAAGAAAAUGACGGUACCUGAAGAAGAAGCCCCGGCUAACUACGUGCCAGCAGCCGCGGUAAUAAGUGGGGGGCAAGCGUGAUCCGGAUAUACUGGGUGUAAAGGGGGCGGAGACGGAGAUGCAAGCCAGGAGUGACAGCCCGGGGCCCAACCCCGGGACUGCUCUUGUAACUGCGUGGUGAGAGUGCAGGAGGGGCAGGCGGAAUUACUGGUGUAGCGGUGAAAUGCGUAGAUAUCAGGAGGCACACCGGUGGCGAAGGCGGCCUGCUGGACUGCAACUGACGUUGAGGCCCGAAAGCGUGGGGAGCAAACAGGAUUAGAUACCCGAGUAGUC